AACGAACGCUGGCGGCAUGCCUAACACAUGCAAGUCGAACGAGACCUUCGGGUCUAGUGGCGCACGGGUGCGUAACGCGUGGGAACCUGCCCUUAGGCUCGGAAUCACUCCCCGAAAGGGGUGCUAAUAUCGGAUAAUGUCUUCGGACCAAAGAUCUAUCGCCUUUGGAUGGGCCCGCGUUGGAUUAGCUAGUUGGUAGGGCAAAAGCCUACCAAGGCGACGAUCCAUAGCUGGUCUGAGAGGAUGAUCAGCCACACUGGGACUGGGACACGGCGCAGACUCGUACGGGAGGCAGCAGUGGGGAAUAUUGGACAAUGGGCGAGAGCCUGAUCCAGCAAUGCCGCGUGAGUGAUGAAGGCCUUAGGGUUGUAAAGCUCUUUUACCCGGGAUGAUAAUGACAGUACCGGGAGAAUAAGCUCCGGCUAACUCCGUG
rnacentral:rRNA from 1 species